UGAGUAACACGUGGGCAACCUGCCCUAGACUUCGGGAUAACUCCUCGAAAGAGGCGCUAAUACCGGAUACGAACUUUGCAGGCAUCUGCGAAGUUGGAAAGUUUUUCGGUCUGGGAUGGGCCCGCGGCCUAUCAGCUAGUUGGUGAGGUAUCGGCUCACCAAGGCGACGACGGGUAGCCGGCCUGAGAGGGCGACCGGCCACACUGGGACUGAGACACGGCCCAGACUCCUACGGGAGGCAGCAGUGGGGAAUAUUGCGCAAUGGGCGAAAGCCUGACGCAGCAACGCCGCGUGCGGGAUGACGGCCUUCGGGUUGUAAACCUCUUUUAGCAGGGAAGAAGCGAAAGUGACGGUACCUGCAGAAAAAGCACCGGCUAACUACGUGCCAGCAGCCGCGGUAAUACGUAGGGUGCAAGCGUUGUCCGGAAUUAUUGGGCGUAAAGAGCUCGUAGGCGGUUUGUCGCGUCCGCUGUGAAAAUCCGAGGCUCAACCUCGGACCUGCAGUGGGUACGGGCAAACUAGAGUGCGGUAGGGGAGAUUGGAAUUCCUGGUGUAGCGGUGGAAUG
rnacentral:rRNA from 1 species